CCCUUAGAUGUUCUGGGCCGCACGUGCGCUACAAUGAUGAAUUCAACGAGUUUAUAACCUUGGUUGAAAAGCCUGGGUAAUCUUUUGAACUUUCGUCGUGAUGGGGCUAGACCCUUGCAAUUAUUGGUCUCCAACGAGGAAUUCCUAGUAAACGCAAGUCAUCAGCUUGCAUUGAUUACGUCCCUGCCCUUUGUACACACCGCCCGUCGCACCUACCGAUUGAAUGGUCCGGUGAAAUCUUCGGAUUGAGACUUUGAUUUCUUCACGGAAAACGCUGUUUUAAAAAGUUGAUUAAACCUUACCAUUUAGAGGAAGGUGAAGUCGUAACA
rnacentral:rRNA from 1 species